rnacentral:rRNA from 1 species
AUUGAACGCUGGCGGCAGGCCUAACACAUGCAAGUCGAACGAGUGGCGGACGGGUGAGUAAUGUCUGGGAAACUGCCUGAUGGAGGGGGAUAACUACUGGAAACGGUAGCUAAUACCGCAUACUAUCAGAUGAGCCUAGGUGGGAUUAGCUAGUUGGUGGGGUAAAGGCCUACCAAGGCGACGAUCCGUAACUGGUCUGAGAGGAUGACCAGGCACACUGGAACUGAGACACGGUCCAGACUCCUACGGGAGGCAGCAGUGGGGAAUAUGGGACAAUGGGCGAAAGCCUGAUACAGCCAUGCCGCGUGUAUGAAGAAGGUCUUCGGGUUGUAAAGCACUUUAAGUUGGGAGGCGUUACCAACAGAAUAAGCACCGGCUAACUCCGUGCCAGCAGCCGCGGUAAUAC